rnacentral:misc_RNA from 1 species
GACGACAUCUCCUCCAGCGUCUCUUCAUUUUAUGGCGCGAGCGUUUGCUCGGCCGACGUCGGUUUCCUGUGCUGAAUACCUAUUGCGAUGGCAUUGUGUCGGCUACGUUUGUUCCCUUCCCACCUUGUUCCGCUGCUCCACGUGGGCGUGCGGUGCGGGGCGGGCCAAAUCGCACGCGUCGUGUGUCGCACCGUGUUCGUCCCCUGGGGCGUUCGGGUUGUCGACCCACGACGUGUUGCUCGGUCUCUCGGGUACGGUGCAUCAUGUGGGUACGAGGCCGUCGGCCUCCGAGCACCACAAUCAAGCGUUCUACGCUUCGUGCGAACGACCGUCGGUUCGGUCUUUGGCCGUGCUCUCGUAGCUCGGUCACGUCGGGCCGCCGUCGAUAAGGAAUGCUACCUGUUUAUUCUUGAA